CGAAAGCCUGACGGAGCAAUACCGCGUGAGGGAGGAAGGCUCUUGGGUUGUAAACCUCUUUUCUCAGGGAAGAAGUUCUGACGGUACCUGAGGAAUAAGCAUCGGCUAACUCCGUGCCAGCAGCCGCGGUAAUACGGAGGAUGCAAGCGUUAUCCGGAAUUAUUGGGCGUAAAGCGUCCGCAGGUGGUUACUCAAGUCUGCUGUCAAAGACCGGAGCUUAACUCUGGAAAGGCGGUGGAAACUGAGAAACUAGAGUUCGGUAGGGGUAGCGGGAAUUCCCAGUGUAGCGGUGAAAUGCGUAGAUAUUGGGAAGAACAUCGGUGGCGAAGGCGCGCUACUGGGCCGGAACUGACACUCAGGGACGAAAGCUAGGGGAGCG
rnacentral:rRNA from 1 species